GAGCUGGACAACAGGAGCUUGUAACAGUACUCACACUUGUAACCAGUCCAGGAGCAGUUGCCUCAAGAGAAAGCAGACACUGAGACUCCUCUUGGUUGCACAAGGCACAGUUUAAAUCUCCCUAGCACCUUGCUUGACUGCGCUGCAGGAUUUCCCUGAGGGCAAGGGCGACAAGCAUCAGGCCUGAUCUGAUGGAAGCUCCACAGGAGACAGGGACUGAUUGGAAAUUUUCUUCUUGACAUCUAGCAUCUUGCUGAAGAGACGAAGAAUAAUGUCGAUGUUGUGCAGCAUUCAACUCCAUCGGCUUCAAAGGGAUGUGUUCUGCUAUCAGAGGGCUUAGAGUUGCUGUGAGCUGUGUGUAUGUCCAGGUAAAAGUGGCUUCAGCCUGUGACUUACUCUGGGACAGCUGACAACAGCAUCUGAUAAUGUUGCCAAAGGCUUCUGUGUCUGUAACUGGGAACGUCUCCUAGAAUACUGUGGCAGGACAGGUGGAGGAAACAGGCUGCUGCUGAGGAAGCCACAGGACCACUGCAAGGGACUAAUCACCAGGAAUCAGCUGAGCAUGACAUUGCCAUCCAUUCUCCACCAGCUGCACAGUUGCAUAAGGAUCUGAAAGUCUCAGUAGCUGUAGUGAUUAUAAGGCUGAUGUUAAGCUGGUGGGUACGGCAUGAAUAACGGACCUGAAUCGUGUUGGUGACCAGGCUGCGAACUGCAGACUCCUAAGUACUCUUCAGUGACUGCAGAUCUGUGUUCUGCCUUCCUAAGAAGUGUGAGACAUGCUGAAGAGUGAUACUGUGGAUACAGUUUUUGUCCUACCACAGAACGAUGGGGUGCUCAGGAGAGGCACUGAAGCUCAUCACAAACUGAAAAUUUCAAUUACAGUACCCUUUUAUAGAUGUAUGAUGCAGUUAUUCUCAAACUUCUUGUUAUCCUAUGGGAUUUUCAAACACUAAAUUCAAAAGAUCUAUGCAUAUUAUUUUUAAAUGCAGAGUUGGAAUACGCAAGCAUCCUAAGCUGUCAUUUCAACUCCAGCUAUUGAAGUUUGAACUCAGGUUACUUGAUGCUUAUGAUCUUCUAUCAAAUUACUUUAAUGUUCUUUUUAUCCCCUCCCUUCUUUCUUCUCUCUCUCCUUCUAUCAGUGCAGCAGAAGGCUGUUAACACAUUAUCAUUAAAAAUGGUGAGCAAUUGCACUGUAAUAAAGCAGUUCAAUGUGAAAUACUGUACAGUAAAGUGCUUCUUAUCCAUUCUUUCUAUGGAGAAGUUUGCACUUCGAAAUAAUAA